rnacentral:rRNA from 1 species
CUACGUAGCUCAGAGUUUGAUCCUGGCUCAGGACGAACGCUGGCGGCGUGCUUAACACAUGCAAGUCGAACGGAGCAAAACGCUGGUUUGAUGGUAGCUUGCUACUGGAUUUCCUUGUUUUGCUUAGUGGCGGACGGGUGAGUAACGCGUGAGUAACCUGCCUCUAAGUGGGGAAUAACGUUCUGAAAAGAUCGCUAAUACCGCAUAAUGUACAUUUGUCGCAUGGCAGCUGUACCAAAGAUUUAUCGCUUAGAGAUGGACUCGCGUCCGAUUAGCUAGUUGGUGGGGUAACGGCCUACCAAGGCGACGAUCGGUAGCCGGACUGAGAGGUUGAACGGCCAUAUUGGGACUGAGACACGGCCCAG